CCUACGGGAGGCAGCAGUGGGGAAUAUUGCACAAUGGGGGAAACCCUGAUGCAGCGACGCCGCGUGAGUGAAGAAGUAUUUCGGUAUGUAAAGCUCUGUCAGCAGGGAAGAAAAUGACGGUACCUGACCAAGAAGCCCCGGCUAACUACGGGCGAGCAGCCGCGGUAAUACGUAGGGGGCAAGCGUUAUCCGGAUUUACUGGGUGUAAAGGGAGCGUAGACGGCAGGGCAAGUCUGGAGUGAAAGGCGGGGGCUCAACCCCCGGACUGCUCUGGAAACUGGCAGGCUGGAGUGCAGGAGAGGUAAGUAGAAUUCCUAGUGUAGCGGUGAAAUGCGUAGAGAUUAGGAGGAACACCAGUGGCGAAGGCGGCCCACUGGACUGUGACUGACGUUCAGGUGCGAAAGCGUGGGGAGCAAACAGGAUUAGAUACCCCAGUAGUC
rnacentral:rRNA from 1 species